CCUUCCAGUUUAGCAGUAUCUUCUCUGGUGUUGUUGGUUCCAUUUUCUAGUGUUGAAGGGAUUCGAUUGGAGAAAAGCUUCAAACCACCAUGGCAUCCUAAAUUGCAUGAAGAAGCUUCGAUGAAAAGCAGUAAUGGAGUUUUGGGAAAUGUCCUUAUAUGCAAAGGGCAUUGUACAGGUAAC